ACUUUAAUUGAAGAGUUUGAUCAUGGCUCAGAUUGAACGCUGGCGGCAGGCCUAACACAUGCAAGUCGAGCGGAAACGGCAGUAUUGAAGCUUCGGUGGAUUUACU
rnacentral:rRNA from 1 species